rnacentral:piRNA from 1 species
UCAGAUGCCACAGUGGAACAGGGUUUC